CCUGACAAGGCCGAACCCAUCGUGAGAUGGGGGCGGAAAGCCACGGGUCUUGAAAUUUCCUGCUGACCCCCAUUUAGGGCGUAUACGAGAUAUCUCCACCUGAAAAGAUAGCCGAGCUGCCGAGU
rnacentral:ncRNA from 1 species